rnacentral:rRNA from 1 species
ACGAACGCUGGCGGCGUGCUUAACACAUGCACGUCGAACGGAAAGGCCCUGCUUUUGUGGGGUGCUCGAGUGGCGAACGGGUGAGUAACACGUGAGUAACCUGCCCUUGACUUUGGGAUAACUUCAGGAAACUGGGGCUAAUACCGGAUAGGAGCUCCUGCUGCAUGGUGGGGGUUGGAAAGUUUCGGCGGUUGGGGAUGGACUCGCGGCUUAUCAGCUUGUUGGUGGGGUAGUGGCUUACCAAGGCUCUGACGGGUAGCCGGCCUGAGAGGGUGACCGGCCACAUUGGGACUGAGAUACGGCCCAGACUCCUACGGGAGGCAGCAGUGGGGAAUAUUGCACAAUGGGCGGAAGCCUGAUGCAGCAACGCCGCGUGCGGGAUGACGGCCUUCGGGUUGUAAACCGCUUUCGCCUGUGACGAAGCGUGAGUGACGGUAAUGGGUAAAGAAGCACCGGCUAACUACGUG